GUCAGAGCAGGGUGCCCUGGGUGUGGGGGUGCCUGGGGGGGAGCUAAUUGCGUCCAGUGACAACCCAGACCAACCACAUAGCAGAAAAUCACGAGAAUCUCAAAUGUUGGAGCUGUUGGGGCAUGAGAUUCUCUUCCAGGUGAAGGAUAAAGCGUGGCCUGUUUGGAGGUAUUUGAGGCAGCUGCAGUUACUGUAGGUUUUCCCAUGGAUUACUUGGAGAAUCCUUUCACCAAAUAAGUGAUUAUAGUGAAAGUAAAUGGGUACCGAGUCUUGAAAAAGGAGUGACUGUCCUAGGGUGACUUCUUGCUAUAGUGUGUGGUCCUCAGGUGAAAUCAUAUUUUCUCUUGGUUUUCCUUCUGUGUGCCUCUGCUUUCUUGUCUCUUGUGAAGUUUGGACGGUGCUGCGCAGUGAAGGAGCUUUAUUCCAUCUGUUAGACACCAGUCAUGAGUGUGGCACAAAAGCAGAGUACACUGCUAGCACCAUCCCAUGGUUUGUACCUGCAGCCCAGCAGUGGAAGUAGCAAGCAGGAGAGUGUUAGCACUGUAUGGCAUGGACUUGCUGUAGGCACAUCUCACAGCCCAUCCGUCGCCAUGAGAACAUCCAGCUACUUUGAUUAUGAAUGGAGAGAGAAACUAUAUGCCAUAUGUUCCAACAUAUUCUACCCUUCAGAUGCUUGGAACACAUGCUCUUGAAAACAAGUGUGUUUUCCUUCUCUAAAGCCAAAGAAUACAUGUGGAUGGCAAGGCUUUGUCUGCUGGGGUGCUCUUCUGAGCCCCUCUGAAACCCGUUCAUCAGUUGUGUUGUCAUUGAUGUCCUGUGGACUUGGAGUGACCAAAGGCUUCUUGUACUGCUUUCUCCAGUAGCUCAAUACCAGGAGAGGAUGCACGUGGAAAACUGGUUUUCUUCCAUUCCCCUUUGAUACGUGGUAUUAUCCAACUGGUGUGCAAUGACUACAAAAACUAGAGUGGCCUGCCUUGGAAGGACUGUCCCUAACAGAGACAUCUGAUGAACUGUGGCCAAUGGGACAAUUCUUAUUCUCCCAUCUAUGGGAGAAAUGCUAAAUAAGGAAAACAUGCCUGAGCUGAUCUCAGGUCUCAUUACUACUUAAAAUGUCCCAUGGCUCACAGUGAAGGCUGCUUUGGGCAUACCUACCUGCUGCACAGCCUGCCUCUGAUUGUUGUAAAGGUGCCUUUUUGUGUUGUGCUAACAGUGAUCUUCACCAGCGAGACUCCAAUCUGACUUCUGCUCUUAUCAGAUAUCAGAAUGCCUUCAGAAGAGCCUUAUCUGUGUGCCCGAGCAUGGUAACACCCAUCAGCCUUGGGUCCAUCAUCUUUGCAGGAUCAGAAUCUGGUCACACAGACCGGCAGCUGCUGAAAUGUGGUUUGCUGAGGGAGGAGCCCAGGAGUGCAGUGGUUCAGUUCCACCAAAUCAAGAAGAAAACACUGCAACACUCUUCAAAUCAUUAAAUACACUUCAGAGAAGAGCAGAGCUGUCUCUCCAAGCUUCAAGUACCAGAUGCUUUAGAAGGAGGCGUGGAGGCAGAUGUUUUGAUUAUUGACCGUCCCCAAGGGAGAUCUUCUCCAUCCUGGUAAUUUGUGUGAUGGCAGCACCAAUAACCCCCAGCCAGAUUCAGAAUCUCGUGUGUCUGCGUUUGUCUGGUUUCGUAUGGAGGAUGGAUUUCCCAGCUGGAGCUGUGUCACGCAGUGUGUGUGCGGUGGAACUACAAAUGCUCUGAUAACCCAAAUUCUGCUUCUUGAGUCGAGGAUCAAUAUGGGUCAUUGAUAUCCUAAGACACAUUGAAAGCUGACCUUAAUUGUUUUCCAUAAGCUGGAAGAUGAGGGAGACUUCCAGCACGAAUAUGCACCCACCUGAAGUGUUCUUCCCCUGUGUGCUUGUUGGUUUGAGGCUCCGCGUGCUUAGAAAAACAAACUCUGCGCCGAGGCUUCUGAGGCUGCAUUAUAAAAUAAAAUGGAACGUACACUCCCGAUGGUAAAAUAUUAUUUGCUAACGUGUUCCAAAAGCUAUGCUAGGCAAAAGGCAGUAAAAGUAUCCUAAAAAGCUGGAUGUAAAACGUAGCAGAUGUGCUUUUCUGUUCUGGUGAGAAAAGCACCUACUUACUGGAAUGAAUGGGAGACUGGAAGGAGGAUGUGAUGGUUACAAUAUUUUCUCUUUUGGGAAAGAUGAGAUGGAGGAGAAGUUCUAUUAAAUGCUUAGUUAUGCAUUUGUAAGUUGGAAAGCAUUCUUUUGUUCAUGCUUAUAAAUGUGAUUUGUGCACCUCCCAGACUUGCACUGAUCUGCAGGGAGAGAUGGUUCUGUUGGCAUUACCUGUAUGGCACGAGGGUACAGCUCAGGAUCUGACAGCUGUGGAACUUUACUUCUGAAUGCUUCCAAGCAGCCCAGGGAGGAGGAACAGAGAGCAAUCCUAUAUUUGGAGAUGGAACUUUUUCCAGCCAUCAAAUCAAGCAUUCUGCUCCUGAGAUAAAGCAGAACUUAGAGCAAACAAAAGGUUCUAGAAUGGAUGUAACCAGAGCACCGUGUUUUUACAGCCCUGUCUUGCACACAGCAUUCCCAGUUAAGAGCCCAGCCUGUGUUUGUGAUUUAGUUGCACCCACCUGCACUGUUUUAAACCUCUUGUAUUGAACAUUUUAAUAGGCUGUCCUCCUUACUCCAGACAUUCCUAUCGCGGUGAAAUGGGCCAUCCUGUAAACGAGGGUUACACUGAAUCGGAGCAGCCGUGCAAAGCAGAGCUGUGCUGAUGCAGUGCCCCGUGCCCUUCAGACCCGAGUCAGCAUCGCCAGCUCCCAUUGCUUCUCGGCACCCUGUGCUCCCAUGGCGUUCUUGGCUCUGCUGUUGGGCUCCGGGAAUCGGGGAGCUCUUCGUUUCUCAAAUACCGUUGCGUGCUUUCAAAACCACGGCUGCGUGUUUGCAUGCGAGCAGCUUGCUUUGUGAAGGGCUUAAAUGUGAAGUGUUUGUCAACAGGGGCGUUGAUUUUUCUGGUGCGGUUGUGAAUGAAACUCGCUGAGAUUGCCGGGCGAGAGGAAAGGGGGAAUUUUCCUUUCCCCUCUGACACUGAUAAUUUUAACCUACGAUUUGUUCCCUUGGGGCACCUGAAGGAUUCGGAACUCUCACGAAUUCAAGAGCGAGAACGAAGUGCUUCCGUCUCAGUGCCUUCAUUGGCCGUAGCCUGACUUUCCUCCUUCACUUUUUCGCCAUAAAGGAAAGGGAGGAAAUAAUAGGAGUUUUAAGGUUAUGCUUUCAAGGAGUUAUGUAUAUAUUGAAGAUAAUUCUUUCCUUCCUCCUGGGAGCUCCUAAGGCGUGGUGAAAGUUGAUUCUGGUGCCUAAAAUCUCUCGAGGAAGGCGAGCAUCUUGCUUUACCGCAUCCAAGCAGGGCUCACCUGUCCCACUGAGCCCGGCGUGCGGCACCAAGAAGAGUCAGAAGGAAACGAUCAGCGCUCCCCGAACUGUCGCUUUUUUCUUCCUCUCUUCCUCCUUAGGAUGAGGAACAGGAGCGCUCCGGGCGAUUCCUGAAUUGGGUUGGGGUUCUCCUAUGGGGGCUGCGCGGCUCCAUUCCCCACCCCGGGCUGCCCUCCCCGAGCCUCGCACUCGCUUCUGCCUCUAAAUUCUCUUUGGAGCGAGUUGUAGAGUGGAGUUGCGCGGUGGAGAUGGGCUCUCGAGGCUUUCGUCUGUUUAAGAAAAGCUUUCUGUUUGUUUCCCCCAUCCUCCUCCCCCAAGCUCUCCUCCGUCACGCUGUUCGUGGUGCCGUUUACCUGUCGCUUGCCGCUGGAACGGGCUCCCUUAGGCGAUCCGCUGCGGCUGCACCGAUGUCAAUGCUGAUUUCGCUUGGAGCGCUUACAGCGGGAGAGGCUGAGGGAUUUGCUUUCUGUGAACUGUGUCUAACCCGGCUGCUCGGAGUAGGGAUUCCAGACUCGGAGUUCAGGAUUUAGAAGUGCUUAAGUGCUGCAUUAUUGAGAUACGUUGUGAAGGAGAGAAACUUUAUA